rnacentral:rRNA from 1 species
CAGUAGCCGCGGUAAUACGAAGGGUGCAAGCGUUAAUCGGAAUUACUGGGCGUAAAGCGUGCGUAGGCUGUUUGUUAAGUCUGUUGUGAAAUCCCCGGGCUCAACCUGGGAAUGGCAAUGGAUACUGGCAAGCUAGAGUGUGUCAGAGGAUGGUGGAAUUCCCGGCGUAGCGGUGAAAUGCGUAGAGAUCGGGAGGAACAUCAGUGGCGAAGGCGGCCAUCUGGGACAACACUGACGCUGAGGCACGAAAGCGUGGGGAGCAAACAGGAUUAGAGACCCCUGUAGUCCCUGUCUCUUAUAC